CCGGAAGCGGCCGUCAGCGGGCGGCCAUCUUUUCCCUCGUCCUCCCUGUGGCCGGUGUUUAGGAGACCUGCUCCUUCUGCGCGCUGCUUCGCUUUCAGGUGUCGCCACCUCGGGACUACAGGGAUCUGGCGCCGUGACGGGGUUCGCCUCGGGCUCCCGCGCUGUGCCGGCCGCUCCGGACUCGCGGCGCUUCCUUCCCGGUGCUGACCCUUUCCCGCGGUCGCGACGCCGCGUCCCGGACCUCCCGCAGCCCCCGCUGUCCACUGUGGUCCGCGCUCGGCCGCGGAGCGCUUUCCCUAACGGUCCCUGGCCCCUAUCCCCUUAGCCGCCGAUGUCGCCGGGCGGUCCCAGUGGGCCUAGUUCCGCCGGUGCAUUACCAGGUGACAGCGUGGCUCGCAGGCCCCAGCAUCAGCUCCCCUGGGACCCUGUGAGUCCCGGGUCCCCCGGAGCCCAGGUUCCAGGUGUGGCACAGGGAGAACUGGUUCAGUCUAGGCAGCUGGGGAUCCAGGGCGUCCAUCUGGCAGAUCCAUGCAGCCACGAGUAAGGAUUUCCACUACUCUGACUGACUGCGUAGACCAUACGUUCAUCUGCUUCCGAACUGUGUCCUGUGACCCUGCUUCUACUCCAUCCCUCUUACCUUAAGUGGCUUCCUGGGCUCUAGGGAGGACAGUCACUUGGAUUUCCAGAAGCUGGAGACAGGAAAUGGUGAGUACUACUGAGGAGAACUGGGUUAUUUUAAGCAUGAAGAGAGGAGGCUAGAUAUGACAUG
rnacentral:lncRNA from 1 species